AAGGGUAUAGCUCAAUGGUAGAGUGUGUGCCUAGCAUGCAGAGGUUGUGGGUUCAAUCCCCAGUACCUCAA
rnacentral:tRNA from 1 species